rnacentral:rRNA from 1 species
AGAGUUUGAUCAUGGCUCAGAAUCAACGCUGGCGGCGUGCCUCAGACAUGCAAGUCGAACGCGAAAGUCCCCUUCGGGGGAUAAGUAGAGUGGCGCACGGGUGAGUAACACGUAGGUAAUCUACCUUCGGGUGGGGAAUAACCCAGGGAAACUUGGGCUAAUACCGCAUAAUGCAGCGGCAUCACAUGGUGACAGUUGUUAAAGCGGGGGAUCUUCGGAUCUCGCGCCUGAAGAGGAGCCUGCGGCAGAUUAGCUAGUUGGUAAGGUAACGGCUUACCAAGGCGACGAUCUGUAGCCGGCCUGAGAGGGCGGUCGGCCACACUGACACUGACAUACGGGUCAGACUCCUACGGGAGGCAGCAGUCGGGAAUUUUGGGCAAUGGGCGAAAGCCUGACCCAGCAACGCCGCGUGAAGGAUGAAAUCCUUCGGGAUGUAAACUUCGCAAGAAUGGGAAGAAUUAGUAGGGGUUAAUACCCCCUAUGAUGACGGUACCAUUUGUAAGCUCCGGCUAACUCCGUGCCAGCAGCCGCGGUAAUACGGGGGGAGCAAGCGUUGUUCGGAUUUACUGGGCGUAAAGGGCGCGUAGGCGGUCAGCACAAGUCAGUUGUGAAAUCUCCAGGCUUAACUCGGAAAGGUCAACUGAUACUGUGCGACUAGAGUGCGGAAGGGGCAACUGGAAUUCUCGGUGUAGCGGUGAAAUGCGUAGAUAUCGAGAGGAACACCUGCGGCGAAGGCGGGUUGCUGGGCCGACACUGACGCUGAUGCGCGAAAGCCAGGGGAGCGAACGGGAUUAGAUACCCNNGUAGUCC